rnacentral:rRNA from 1 species
UAUCUCUGUAGAGUCUGCAUAUCAAUAAGCGGAGGAAAAGAAACUAACUAGGAUUCCCUCAGUAACGGCGAGUGAAGCGGGAAGAGCUCAAAUUUGAAAUCUUCAAGGUUCUACCUUGACGAAUUGUAGUUUAAAGAAGUGUUUUCUGUUGGUGUUUUGGUAAAAGUUCUUUAUGGAAUAGGACAUCAUAGAGGGUGAGAAUCCCGUAUUUGACCAUUACUUUCCAGCGUUGUGAUACACUUUCAAAGAGUCGGAUUGUUUGGGAAUGCAGUCCAAAAUGGGUGGUAAAUUUCAUCUAAAGCUAAAUACUGGCGAGAGACCGAUAGCGAACAAGUACCGUGAGGGAAAGAUGAAAAGAACUUUGAAAAGAGAGUUAAACAGUACGUGAAAUUGUCAAAAGGGAAGCGUUUGACACCAGUGUUGUUUUCUCGAAAAUCAAUUAAAAAAGGCAGGAUUUUGUGUUGUAUUGACUUUAUCAGCUUUCUGCACUCUUUUCUUGUCUUUUUUAAUGCACUUUUCGUUUAACAAGUCAACAUCAAUUUCUUUUGUUGUAAAAGGGUCAUUGGAAGGUGGCUUUCUUUUCGGAGAAAGUGUUUAUAGCCUUUGGCCUCUGCAAUCGGAGAGAUUGAGGUCUGCAGCGUAGAUCCUUCGGGGUUAGAUACAUUUGUGCUAAGUUAUAGCCUUUCAUAGACAACUUGUUGACUAUGAUCAGUCAUGUAGCUUACUCGCUUAUGCUAUUUUACCUACGCUUAGGAUGUUGACGAUCAGCUGAGCGCG